GGCAGGAGCUAUUGUAGAGGCCAUGGAGGCAUGUUACUUACUAAGAGCUGUAGUCUACACAGGCAUUACUACAUUACUACACUGGAGGGACAAUUGUAAAGAUUGUAACAAAUGUGCCUACUGAGCAACUCUUCCUAGGAAGAUGGAGAUAAAUACCUACUCAUUCUAGAUACCAGUAACAGAUCAAAGAAGAGACUGUUCCACCCAAGUCUAUCUUGGUGAGUCAGUGGUUUUGUUUUUUUGUGUUUUGGGUUUUUGCUUUGUUUUGUUUUGUUUUUUGUUUUGGACUACCCAAGGAAGCAUGGAUGAGGUAUUACUUAAAGGAGAAUGGUUGACUCAAAGGUAGCUCCAUCGCUGAAAAGCCUGCACAAUGGAUGACAACUUAAAGAAAUGGAUCCCUCAAGUUCCCUGCACAGGUUGUAGGUAGCUGCCAGAGAUAAAUCUGGGCAGAAUCUUUGUAAAUCUUGUAAGUUUCAGGAGCUUCCUUAGCCUUGCAAGUUUCCUGUAUUUCCUGAGUCUCAUGAGCAUCCCUCUUCUUUCUAAGGAGGAAUAUUUGGAUUCAGAAGAAAUAAUUUGAUUAUACAUUGUUGUCACCUUGAGAAUCUACAGAAAACUGAAGAUUUCAAGAGUCCACCCCUAGGGAGCUCUUAGCUAGUCCUAGAAGGGCACUUAAAUUUGCUAAGUGCAUUUGAAAAGUAUUUCCUUGUCAGUCUGUUUGACAAGCCUGUGUUGACCACUGACCUGCUAAGCAUUAAGUAUCAGUACAGAAUAAACGGAGAGAAAAGCCUCAGUUGAGAAAUUGUCUUUCUUGGCCUGGCCUGUGGUCAUGUUUGCAAGGGAUCAUCUUGAUUGUUAAUUCACAUUGGAGGGCCCAGCCCACUGUAGGCAGCACUGUUCUCUGGGCAGGUGGUCCUAGGCUAUAUAAGGAAGCUAGCUGAACAUGAGUCUGAGUUAGGCAGUGUGAGAACCAACAAACAGCAUUCCUCUAUGGUAUCUCCUUCAAAUUCCUCCUUGACUUUCCCUCAAUGAUGGGAUGUGACCCAACAGCAUAAGCCAGCUAACUGCUUCCUCCCCUGAGUUGCUCUGAUCAGAGUGUUUUAUCACAGUAUCAGAAUGAAACUAGAAUAAGCCCCGAGUCAAGCCACAUGCUAUGUAAGUCCCCAGCCUUGAGGGCUAGUCAUUGCAUCAGUGCUCUGGUUGGGCACUGAAGACUAGCAUUGAUCCAACUCCUGCCCCAUAUCUGAAGGCAUCAUGAAACUUAUACAGAAACUCUUGACAGAAGAGUGUGUGAUGAUUAACCUUAAUUAUCAAUGGGAAUACACCUCUGGGUGUAUCUACACCUGGGUGUUUCCAGGCUUAAGUGAGGGAGAGAAGACCCAACCUUGAUGUGAGUGGCGUGGACCAAGGCCAUGGACUGAAUGAAACAGAGAAAGCAAGCUGGGCUCCAGUGCUCACCUCUCUGCUUCCUGCCUGUGGAUGCAACGAGCCAGCUGUGCUUCUCUCUGCUGCCAUGACUCUCCACACCAUGAUGGACAGCUCCCUCACUGUAUCCAGAUAAGUCUUUCUCUCCUGAAGUUGCUUCCUGUCGGUUAUCUGUUCGCAUCAACAGAAAAGUAAGGAAUUCAGACCGUUGGGAGCCCCUCCUGGCUCCACUCUCAGGAGUUAAAAGUUAAACACGGGGCUUUGGCAACAGAGAAAUCAGACCUCGGCCCAAGAUGAGCAACUCCCGAGCUGUGCGCCACGUUGGGAGACAAGGCAGAGCCAUCAUCAUGUCCAUGAAAUUACAGCGAAGAAGUAAAACAAGGUACUUCGAGUCACAGAGCAGCAGUCCCUCAGCUCCAUUUAGAGAAGCAGUGCAUGGGCAGAGCCGUGCUUCCAAGCGAUGCGCUAAGAUUCCCCAGACACACACCCAGAGUGGGUGGUCCCCUGCCUUCUCCCAGCUUCCGCCCCGCGCAGCCCUAGAACCUGGAGCAAAGUCCUCACUGCAAGAUAUGGGAUAUGAACUAAACAUUGGUCUUUUGGGCAUCUCAUCUGCGACCUAACAGACUGGAUAUGCACAACCUGUUUCCUGGAUCUCCUGCAGGCCUUGGGACUCAACAGCAUCCAAAAACCACACAAGCCAAUUCCUUAUAAUAAAACCAUCUUUCUCCAUAAA
rnacentral:lncRNA from 1 species